rnacentral:rRNA from 1 species
UACGUAGGUGGCAAGCGUUGUCCGGAAUUAUUGGGCGUAAAGCGCGCGCAGGCGGCCUUUUAAGUCUGAUGUGAAAUCUUACGGCUCACCCGUAAGCGGUCAUUGGAAACUGGAGGGCUUGAGUGCAGAAGAGGAAAGUGGAAUUCCACGUGUAGCGGUGAAAUGCGUAGAGAUGUGGAGGAACACCAGUGGCGAAGGCGACUUUCUGGUCUGUAACUGACGCUGAGGCGCGAAAGCGUGGGGAGCAAACAGG